rnacentral:rRNA from 1 species
UGCGAUAAGCGCCGGUAAGGUGAUAUGAACCGUUAUAACCGGCGAUUUCCGAAUGGGGAAACCCAGUGUGACUCGUCACACUAUCAUUAACUGAAUCCAUAGGUUAAUGAGGCGAACCGGGGGAACUGAAACAUCUAAGUACCCCGAGGAAAAGAAAUCAACCGAGAUUCCCCCAGUAGCGGCGAGCGAACGGGGAGGAGCCCAGAGCCUGAAUCAGCAUGUGUGUUAGUGGAAGCGUCUGGAAAGGCGCGCGAUACAGGGUGACAGCCCCGUACACAAAAGCGCAUGUGCUGUGAGCUCGAUGAGUAGGGCGGGACACGUGGUAUCCUGUCUGAAUAUGGGGGGACCAUCCUCCAAGGCUAAAUACUCCUGACUGACCGAUAGUGAACCAGUACCGUGAGGGAAAGGCGAAAAGAACCCCGGCGAGGGGAGUGAAAAAGAACCUGAAACCGUGUACGUACAAGCAGUGGGAGCACAGGUUUACCUGUGUGACUGCGUACCUUUUGUAUAAUGGGUCAGCGACUUAUAUUCUGUAGCAAGGUUAACCGAAUAGGGGAGCCGCAGGGAAACCGAGUCUUAACCGGGCGUUAAGUUGCAGGGUAUAGACCCGAAACCCGGUGAUCUAGCCAUGGGCAGGUUGAAGGUUGGGUAACACUAACUGGAGGACCGAACCGACUAAUGUUGAAAAAUUAGCGGAUGACCUGUGGCUGGGGGUGAAAGGCCAAUCAAACCGGGAGAUAGCUGGUUCUCCCCGAAAGCUAUUUAGGUAGCGCCUCGUGAAUUCAUCUCCGGGGGUAGAGCACUGUUUCGGCUAGGGGGCCAUCCCGGCUUACCAACCCGAUGCAAACUGCGAAUACCGGAGAAUGUUAUCACGGGAGACACACGGCGGGUGCUAACGUCCGUCGUGAAGAGGGAAACAACCCAGACCGCCAGCUAAGGUCCCAAAGUCAUGGUUAAGUGGGAAACGAUGUGGGAAGGCCCAGACAGCCAGGAUGUUGGCUUAGAAGCAGCCAUCAUUUAAAGAAAGCGUAAUAGCUCACUGGUCGAGUCGGCCUGCGCGGAAGAUGUAACGGGGCUAAACCAUGCACCGAAGCUGCGGCAGCGA